rnacentral:tRNA from 1 species
GACCGCGUAGCUCAGUUGGAAGAGCAUUGGUCUAGUACUCCAAAGGUCGUGGGUUCGAAUCCCACCGUGGCCA